CAAACUGACAUCACUUCAAUGUAUAGCGGGGAAAAAAACUAUAAAAUCUAUUAUGGGAUAUUCUUCUGAGAACUUGUUCUGUCCGACAGUGUAAUUUUUGCACAAUGACGUUCCCUUAAGCCGGGUGCACACUGCGCUAUUUUUAAUAGUCCUUUGUAACUGUUGCUUGUCAGACUGUACGAGCACGAUCCCCACUGUAAGCCAUGUCACACUGUCGGAUCAGUUGUCAUUAAUGUCAGACUGUACGACAGUCAAGACAUGAAAAACGGACGCAGGCAAGAAAACUCGUAUGGAGUAGGAGAAGCAACACUACAGGACUGUGCCUCAAAUCUUCGGACACUGCCAGAAUUUAAUCGGAGGAAAAAUUUGAUCGCAAAGGCCAUUAAUCGGCUGACGGGGAACGCGUCAAACUAGUGAUCAAAGACUACUGAUUUUGGCCUAGGAUUAUAGGAAUCUUUUAGGAUCUCAAAAUUUCAGACAACCAAACCAUGGCCAAAAUUGCACAGUGUGAACCCGGCUUUAAUUGUUUCCACUGACCAACUUUACAGGGAAAAGGUGUGUUGCUGGACUCCGGAGACAAGAUGAUUAAAGCAGUAGUUGGGGGCGCAUGCAAAUGCAAAUCCCCCUGGAGCCGUUAGAACUUGAUUUGAAUGAAAAUUAUAUACAUAACACCUUGGGGGGGGGGGGGGGGGGGGGUUAAGAGGGGAUUCAAACCAUCCAGAUUAUCUGGAUAUCAUGAUAAAAUAAUCUAUGCAAAUAUUAAAAUUAAUAUGGCUGUCAAUCUUUCAUGCAUGUUUUUCAAAAUUCAUAGAACUGUUCAUAGUAAGCAAUGAAAUUCUGUGCCAGGCUCAGUUCACCAAAAUGUGACACUUCUUAAGAAAUUGGGUGUGGGGUGUGUGUGUGUGUGUGUUUGUGUGUGUGUGUGUGUGUGUGUGCGUGUGUGUGUGUUUCACACAUGCAAUGCAACCUCUCCAUUUCUAUUUUUUAUAGCAGCACAGUAAAGGGUGGCAUUAAGGCUAGAAAAUGACCUCUUGAACCACAGAGAAAGAAGAGAUAGGAGAAAUCUAGACAACCAAACGUAACACAAAGCCAGCAUGACACUCAAACACAGGUAUGAAGUCAGUGUGAAAAACGCAAGACAGCCAGAGAACAAGUGAAGGAGGGAGAAGAAGAAACCCAGCGAGUUACGUGCUGGAUCACGACAGGCUGAAAAAGGUGCACCAACUGUGGAAGACCUCCUACAUUGUUCCGGUGCCCAAGAAAGGUCAUCCCAGUACCUCAAAUAACUACAGACCUGUGGUGCUGACCUCACAUGUCAUGAAGACCUUUGAGAGACUGGUCCUGAGGCACCUGAACCUGAUCUUAAGUGACUCCCUUGAUCCACUGCAGUUUGCAUACCAGACCCAAAUCAGCGUGGAUGAGGCAAUCAUCUAUCUACUGCAUAGGGCUUACUCAUACCUAGAGAGGCCAGGAAGCACAUUGAGAAUCAUGUUUUACGAUUUUUUUUACUGCAUUUAACACCAUCCGGCCCCCGUUGCUUGCAGAAAAGCUCUGGAACAAAUGGGUAGAGCACGAUAUGGUGGCUUGGAUCAUGGACUAUCUCACCAGAAGACCACAGUAGGUCUGACUGCAGGGCAGCCUGUCAGAUGUAGUGAUGUGCAACACCGGCGCACCUCAAGGAACUGUGCUUUCACCUUUUCUUUUCACCAUAUACACCUCUGACUUUAACUCUGACUACAACUCUGGAACAUGCCACCUCCAGAGAUUCUCUGAUGACUCCUCCAUCGUGGGCUGCAUCAGUGAAGAGAAGGAGGAGGAGUACAGAGGCGUAGUGGAGAGCUUCCUCAGAUGGUCUGUGGAUAACCAUCUUCAGCUCAACAUCAGCAAGACCAAAGAACUGAUAGUGGACUUCUGCCGAAACAGAAAGCCCCCAACACCUAUUACCAUCCAGGGGGAGAAAAUAGAGAUGGUGGACUCGUACCAGUUCCUGGGAGUGCACAUCAACAGCAAGCUGGACUGGUCGGAAAACACCAAAGUUCUCUACCGGAAGGGACAGAGCAGACUGUUUCUUCUAAGGAGGUUCAGGUCGUUUGAUGUGUGCAGCAAGCGAUUGCAGAUGUUCUAUCAGUCUGUAGUAGCCUGUGCCCUGUUCUUUGCUGUGACAUGCUGGGGAGGUGGAGUUAAGGCUUGGAAGGCUGACAAACUCAACAAGUUGGUGAAGAAGUCCAGCUCUGUUGUUGGUCACAAACUGGACAAUCUGUAGACUCUGGUGGAGAAGAAAAUGAGAAAUAAAUUCAGGUCCAUUUUGGGAAACCCCUUUCAUCCACUGUAUGCUGAGCUGCAGCAGAUGGAGAGCACCUUCAGCCACAGGCUCAUCCCCCAAAGUGUAAGACAGAACGCUUCAGAUGUUCCUUUGUGCCGACAGCCAUUGGACUGUACAACAACUAGCCACCCCCUCCUUUGACCUUUCUUUUGACUACACUACAAAUACGCUAUUACAGUGUUGUAAUAUGGGUAUCAUACUGUAUUUUUUGCACUGCUCACACACCACAUCACUGCUUCAAAGCUACUGCUAUAUGUCUAUACUGGUUAUACUGUACAGCUGCAAUAUGUAUAUAGUUUUGUGUACACUGUACAUAUGCGAUAUGUACAUGAGCUAUUUGUAUAUUGGGACUGUACAUUGUUGCUUGAUGUAUAUACUGCUCAUAUGUAUGUGUGUGUGUGUGUGUGUGUGUGUG
ensembl:lncRNA